rnacentral:rRNA from 1 species
UUCGUAGGCGGUUGGUUAAGUUAGAUGUGAAAGCCCCGGGCUUAACCUGGGAACUGCAUUUAAUACUGGCUAACUAGAGUUUAGGAGAGGGAAGUGGAAUUUCAGGUGUAGCAGUGAAAUGCGUAGAGAUCUGAAGGAACACCAGUGGCGAAGGCGACUUCCUGGACUAAAACUGACGCUGAGGAACGAAAGCGUGGGUAGCAAACAGGAUUAGAUACCCUGGUAGUCC